UGAGGUGGCACACACCUGUAAUUGCAGAACCCGGGAAGCUGAGGCAGGAGGAUUGCUGUGAGUUCAAGGCCUGCCUGGGCUACACAGUGGGUUCAAGGACAGCCUGAACUACAGAGCAAGACCCUGUCUCAAAAAGAAAACCCCAAAGGCUGGGGAUUUAGCUCAGUGGUGGUGCACCUGCCUGGUAAGCACAAGGUCCUGAGUUCCAUUUCCAGUACAGGAAAAAAAAAAGGAUGGGAAUGUAGGUCAGUGCAAAGACCCUGGGCUCAAUCCUUAUUACUGAAAAGAAAGAAGGAUGCAAAGAAAAGAAAAGAGAAAAGGAGAGGAGAGAGGAGGAAGAGAGGGAGAGGCAGGAAGGGCAGUCGGAGAAUUUCCGGCACCAGAUUCCAGGGCUGGCUGUGACACUGCAGAAGGCGGCGGUGCAGCACGGGCAGAGAGUCCGCGUCUCCUCGCAAGGAUGAGGACCUCUGGCACGUGAAGGGGUGGGGUGCUGUGUGCAUGGCCGUCACUCUGUCACUGGGGAGUGGCAGUACGGAAGCGUUGAGUUAGGCAGCUCUGCUCUGCGGUUGGCUGGGAUGCGAGGCCGGACAGAUGACUGUCCUCCAGGUCUGCCGGGCACAGGUGGAGGCCAUCGUGGUGUCACAGUGCCCUUCCAGGGAGCAGAGACCCCACGGCGGGCACUCCCACCCUGCUGCCUUGGCCACUUGCUCUGCACCCCUGGAGCACUGGGAGGGUCUUGCUGCUGCUGUCACUUCUGCUGGCCUCCUCGUUCGCUGGGGUGGCAAUUUCAGCGUGGCUCAGGGAGGGCUUGUUGAGGGGAGAUCAGGGCAGCGGUGGGGCACUUGCCUCUCUCAACAGGCCCAGGCUCCAUCUUAAGUGCUGGAGAGAAAGGAAUGAAAAAGAAAGGGAGGAAAUGAAGACAAAAAGCCCUGACCUGCGGCUGCUGAGCCCCCAGGAACCAUCCGCUCUGCCUCAGGACAUUUCUGGAGGAUGAAACACUCAGACAAACUGGGAAAGACACCCCGGGAGACAGGCGGGCUGUGCCCUGCACCCUGAAAUGGGCUCGGGCAGAGGCAGUGCGCAGGGUCAGAGGGACGGAGGGGACGCAGUGCCAGGGGCUCUGCCCAGAGACACCCGCACCGGACCUGGGUGCUCUGCAGGCGGCUCCAAAAUGCAUCAAGCAGGGCCGGGCAGAGAGAGGAUUCACCACGAGGAAAGUCAGGAAGGAGAGGCGGAUGAGACAAAGCCGCCUCAGGAAAUCUCCAGUCAGUGCCAGGGACAGCGCAUGUCCUGACUGCAUGUAAUUUAGAAACCAGAAGGAGAAGCCAACUUUGCGAGCCCUACGUAAAGUCGGGAAUUCCAAAAUUCUCUUCUGAGUAACAGAGGCCGAGGAGAACACAGGGGAGGCAAGAAGCUCCGGGGAAGGGAUGCUAAGGGAAAGCUCGAGCCGAGCUGUCUCCGCUCUGCAGUGUCCAGCACAGCAGGAAGACCUUCAGACCUCCCGUCUGACGACAGCGCCUGACUCCUGUGUCCUGGCCAGCUGCAAACUUCCGGGCAGGCUUGUCCCCAGGUGGGGGACAGAAGGCAGCAAGAAGCAUCCUCAGGGUCUGAUACAGUUGUCGGGGUCCUUGCCCGAAACGCUGAAAGCUCAAACAUGUUUGGAAGCCCACAGCACCAGGCCUAGCCCUGAGCCCACCUCCUCAGACUCCCAGGUGCCAGACAGCCUAGAGCCUCUGGAAGGGAUCCAUCCACCCACUCACUGUGUUGAGCUGCUUUGUUUGGCAAAAAUGAGUAACACAGGAGGGAAAUGCAAACCUGGAGCUACAGAACCAUCUCACGGUUUUGAACACCCCUAAACAUGGAAGACAGACAAAAGACAGAAGCAAAGGUGAGCAGAUGGGUCCCAGAGGCGCCGGGCGCUUGCUGUGUGUUCGUGUUUGGCCUGCUUUCCUGUGUUCCUGAGAGACUGGGCCUCUGAGCACCAGCGCAGUGCUGAAGUCCCGGAGUUUCCUUGACUCAGAGAAAGGUCACCCCUGAGCAGCUGUGGACCUGACUGCUGAUCACAAAGCCGCUGCUCUCCAAGGGACUGCGCCGCUGGACCCGAGACCACCCGCUCGCCACUCAGAAGCCAAUGCUCGGGAGAUCAGUGGACAGGAAGGAGAGCGGGCGCCAUGGUCCCCCAGCAAGCCUCGUUAGGGGACCCAGGUAGCAGAAGUGGAAAGAGAGCUCCAGGGCCAAGGGCAGGAGGCCGGGCGGGCGUGUGCUGAGGGCCUCUGGUCAUCGGGGCCUGAGUUUUCCUUUCUCUCCUGCCAGAACGCCCUGGAGACAACAAUCGACUUUCUUCUCUUAGGCCAGUCCCUGUAAUUCUUUAGAAAAGGGGCUAUCUCCUUGAACAGUAAACACUGUUUCACUUUAAAGAACAGGAUUGGCCAGUCCCUGCCCAUGCUUGGGUGUUAUCUGAAGAUGUCAGAUGUCGCAGUCUGUGGGAGGCUGGAGGAUCGCUGAUCAGGGCUGCUUUUCCUGCAGUAGCUGAGCCCAGCAGUUAGUGUCUUAGCCAGACAAAGGUGGUUUUCUUUGGCACUUACAACCCUGGGCAAAGGGAGACACAAAUAUAAUAGGACAAGGGGCAGUUUGCACAGGCGAGCUAACCUAGAGGAGGGUGGGUAAGACACAGUGGUGUUGCCAUUAUUUACACACUGCUGGAUCCCCGGGAAGCCUCCUUCCUCCUGGCCCAGCCCCAGGGCUUGUCCCUGCUGCACCCUAGGAGUCCUGUGCCAGACAGGUGGCUGUGUCUGAUGGAGGCAAACUGGGCCCAACGUGGCACCUGGCACAUUGCGGCCUCGGGCAGAAGACAGGGCUAGAGGAGGCCCAGGUGCGGUGUGGGAGUGAGACUGGAGACCAGGCACAGGAGCAGGGGCCAGAAGCAGGCAGGAAGUGGGCAGGAAGCAGGCAGGAAGUGAAUGGGAAGCAGGCAGGAAGUGGAAGGAAACAGGCAGGAAGUGAAUGGGAAACAGGCAGGAAGUGUGUGGGAAGCAGACAGGAAGUAUGUGGGAAACAGGAAGUGGGCAGGAAGCAGGUGGAAAACCUCUCCCCCAUGGAAAUCAUCUGAGCCCCCUGGUGGGGGAGUUGGGAUGGAGGAAGUCUGGAAUCCACGUGGAAACCUCACUUUAGGGAAGUGUGGUGAAGAGCUCAGUGCUGAGACAGCUGCCCAUGGACGGUGGGCCUGGUUGUUGGUGGGACGGGGGUACAUUUUUGUCUCCCCAACCCCUCCCCAAGGCUGAGACUUUGCUUCAGACCCUUGGUGCUGUGUGUUGAAUGUGUUUCCCAAGGGUUCACUUUUAGAAACCGAGUUCCCGAAUUCAUAGGUUUUUAUUUUUUGAUAUUUGCUUUUUGAGACAGGGACUUUCUGUGUAGUUCAGGCUGGCCUUGAACUUGAGGCGAUCCUCCUGCUUCAGCCUCCCAAGCGCCAGGGCGGCAGGUGUGCACUGUCAUGACUGGCUCUUCGUUUAUAUGCUGAUCUGAUUGUAUUUGAGAGGUAAUCAGGAUUUGGGGAGGCCACAAGGGGUCUGUAAUGGUGUUGGUGACUUUUAAGAAAAGGAAGAGCUGCCGUGAGCCAGGCUUUGGCACCAGACCUGGGGUGAGUUUCGCUUGGCUGGUGGCGCUUGGUCACAGUAGCCACGGACCCUUGUGGAGGAUGGUUAGGGGCUCAGGGACAUGGCAGGGCCGAGGGGGGACGUGUGGGUGAUAUUUAAAAAUCAUAGCAGAGGUUCGGGCCUUUUUUCCUUUUCUUACACUCUCCUGCAGGGCAGGUUUCUGAAUCUACUCAUGCUUGUGUGGAAAGAUAGAACCUUUAUCACCAUGGUUCUUAUCAGGAACAGCACAGAACCCCGGGGGGUUAGAAUGCUGUGCCUGGCCCCUUCCCCACCCCACUCUGCAGCUCUGGGGCGGGGCUGCUAACUUGUGCCCAUUAAGCUGGGGCCUUGGUGGCUCGGCGGUCUGGGGCAGCUCUGAGAGCCGCCACGCUGCAGAGUUGGACAGGGAAAACGCUUAGCUCCUGUGUGGCCCUGAGGCUCUGUGUGGAAGGGGAGGAGGAGCAGCCAUGCAGGCUUGCUCUCUCCUCACCGCAGCCCUCACUGUCCCCCAGUGCAGACAGGUAAGUUAAUUAGAUAUCUUGUGGGCAGUUAGACGGGACAGCACACGAGGCGCCAACAUGGAGGACAGUGAAGACACAGGUACUGAAGGCCAGCCCUGUGAAAGGAGAGAAACUACACACCAUGUAGGAUGAAUAGCAGUGACUGAUCUAAACAGGCAUCAGUCACCUGGGUGGGGUGGCUUGUUUCCCCCCUGGAUCCCCAUUUGAUCCAUAUCACCAAAGCAACUCUAUGUCACAGUCUCACUGGUUGCUCAUAGUUUUGUCCACCUUGUGAUUGCUCAUUGGAUCAGUGUUACCUAAGCAACUGUACUUGUCAUCUUACUGGUUGACUACACUUUUGUCCCACCUUGAACCCGCCUCACCUUGUGGCUUUGCCCCAUAAAACACCUUUGGGAAGUGGGGUGCGCGGGCAGCCCACUCUCCAGUCCCCCUUCUGUCUCGCUGGGACAGAAGCUUUCUUUUUCUCAAUAGAUUUUCCUACUCUUAACCUCCGUUGUUCCUAGAUUUCAUUCUCUGAUUUUAGAGAACACGAACUCGCACUUCAGACACCUGGCAGGUUUGGGAGUCGCAUCUCUUCCCCUAUAUCUAUCAUCCCCGAGAGGAGGACAAAACACAG
rnacentral:lncRNA from 1 species